CUCGAGCUGAGCUUUCGCUCACCAUCCACCACUGCUGUUUGCCACUGUCGCAGACCCACCGCCGACUCCCAUCCCUCUGGAUCCGGCAGGGUGUCCGCUGAGCUCCUGAUACGGCGAGACUCCCAUUGCCACUCCCGAUCAUGCUAAAGGCUUGCCAUUGUUCCUGCAACGUUAAGUGCCUGGGUUCGUCCUAAUCGAGCUGAACACUAGUCACUGGGUUCCAUGGUUCUCUUCCGUGACCCACGGCUUCUAAUAGAGCUAUAACACUCACUGCAUGGCCCAAGAUUCCAUUCCUUGGAAUCCGUGAGGCCAAGAACCCCAGGUCAGAGAAGACGAGGCUUGCCACCAUCUUGGAAGCGGCCCGCCACCAUCUUGGAAGUGGCUCGCCACCAUCUUGGGAGCUCUGUGAGCAAGGACCUCCGGUAACAUUUUGGCGACCACGAAGGGACAUCCAAAGCUUAUUGCCUAACGGUCCACAAUAAAACAUUCUCACUUUGGUAACUGUAUAAAAAUAGAAGUACAUUACAUAAAAAAGCUCACUAUCCUUGACAGAGAAGAAAGGACUUAGAACCGGAAUUCAACUUUGUGACCAUAAUCUGGGAGAAUGCUGCAAGAAAGAAAACACAAGCAUUUUAAAGGAACCAUAACAGUUACAAAGAAUCAGGAGACAAUGCAGGAUGGUAUAGGAGGCCAAAGGAAGAAUACAUUUCAAGCUAUUCUACUUCUACUGUUCAUCGGUUGAAAUGGUCAUCAAAAUGUAAUAAGUUGAUCGAAGACUCUCAGAUAUUACUUUAGAAUAUAUUCCUUUUAUGAAAGCUGCAUCUGUAUUUGACUUGGUAAGAUAAUAAAUUCAAGAAAAGCCCAACUGGGACCUCUAACAUACUCUUCUACAAUAUAUGAAUUUUAUACUAAAUAAGACUAUAAUAUUCUCCUCUACAAGUGGAAACCACAUCCCCAUAGGAAAUCGAGAUGCUAAACUAUUAAUAGUUUACCCAGGUUUUCUCUGCCUACCAUGGAACCUUAAACUUCAUCACAGCCUAAGCACUGUAAAACAUUAUAAUUUAUGUUCAUAUAAAUGAAACUCUCUAGACAUUCUUCAUCUUGUCUACUACUUAAUGUUUCUGAUGUUUUUAAGACAGAGAAGUUCUCUGCAUUCAACCUGAGAAAAGACAAUGUCAAAAUAAAUUUAUAUAUCAAAUAAAUACUGUCAGAAGCAUUGCUAUAAGUCUGGUAAUGUUUUAAAAUGUUGUGCCAGUAA
rnacentral:lncRNA from 1 species